rnacentral:rRNA from 1 species
UCUGGUGAUUAAAGAUCAGUGGAACCACCCGUCCCCAUCUCGAACACGGAAGUGAAACACUAAUAUACUGAUGAUAGUAUGACGAAAGGUCAUGUGAAAGUAGGUCGUUGCCAGUC